rnacentral:rRNA from 1 species
CCCUUAGAUGUCCUGGGCCGCACGCGCGUUACACUGAUGCAUUCAACGAGCUUAUAACCUUGGCCGAGAGGCCUGGGCAAUCUUGUUAACGUGCAUCGUGAUAGGGAUAGAUUAUUGAAAUUAAUAAUCUUGAACGAGGAAUUCCUAGUAAACGCAGAUCAUCAAUCUGCAUUGAUUACGUCCCUGCCCUUUGUACACACCGCCCGUCGCACCUACCGAUUGGAUGGUCCGGUGAAGCCUCGGGAUUGUGGUUCUUGCCGCUUUAUUGUGGCGUGACCGCGAGAACUUGUCUAAACCUUAUCAUCUAGAGGAAGGUGAAGUCGUAACA